GAUGAACGCUGGCGGCGUGGAUAAGGCAUGCAAGUCAAACGGUGUAGCAAUACACAGUGGCAGACGAGGUAGUAAUAAGUAGGUAAUCAACCUUGAAGUCAGGGAUACCUCAUCGAAAGAUGAGUUAAUACUUGAUAGUCUCUUUGGAGUAAAGAUUUAUCGCUUCAAGAUGAGCCUGCUUGAUAUCAGCUAGUUGGUGAGGUAAUGGCUCACCAAGGCUAUGACGUCUAGGGGACCUGAGAGGGUGACCCCCACCGAUGGAACUGAGACACGGUCCAUACACCUACGGGUGCCGCAGUCGAGAAUCUUCCGCAAUGGACGAAAGUCUGACGGAGCGACGCCGCGUGAACGAUGAAGUACUUAGGUAUGUAAAGUUCUUUUGCCCAGGGAGAAAGUUUAUUGAUAGUACUUGGCGAAUAAGAGGUUGCUAAACUCGUG
rnacentral:rRNA from 1 species